rnacentral:rRNA from 1 species
UACGAAGGGGGCGAGCGUUGUUCGGAAUUACUGGGCGUAAAGGGCGCGCAGGCGGCUCUGAAAGUCAGAUGUGAAAGUCCCGGGCUUAACCUGGGAAUUGCAUUUGAUACUCUGGAGCUUGAGUACGGGAGAGGUGAGUGGAAUUCCAGGUGUAGUGGUGAAAUACGUAGAUAUCUGGAGGAACACCGGCGGCGAAGGCGGCUCACUGGCCAUAUACUGACGCUGAAACACGAAAGCGUGGGGAUCAAACAGGG